rnacentral:rRNA from 1 species
AUACGGAGGGUGCAAGCGUUAUCCGGAAUCAUUGGGUUUAAAGGGUCCGCAGGCGGUCAAUUAAGUCAGAGGUGAAAUCCCGUCGCUCAACGACGGAACUGCCUUUGAUACUGGUUGACUUGAGUUAUACGGAAGUAGAUAGAAUGUGUAGUGUAGCGGUGAAAUGCAUAGAUAUUACACAGAAUACCGAUUGCGAAGGCAGUCUACUACGUAUAUACUGACGCUCAUGGACGAAAGCGUGGGGAGCGAACAGGAUUAGAAACCCCAGUAGUCC